GUAGGGAUCCGAGCGUUGUCCGGAUUUACUGGGCGUAAAGGGUGCGUAGGGCGGCAUGUUAAGUCUCAUGUGAAAUCUCCCGGCUCAACUGGGAGGGGUCAUGGGAAACUGGCAAGCUGGAGGGCAGUAGAGGAGAGUGGAAUUCCCGGAGUAGUGGUGAAAUGCGUAGAUACCGGGAGGAACACCAGAGGCGAAGGCGACUCUCUGGACUGUACCUGACGCUGAGGCACGAAAGCGUGGGGAGCGAACCGGAUUAGAUACCCGGGUAGUCCACGCCCUAAACGAUGGAUACUAGGUAUAGGGGGUAUCGACCCCUCCUGUGCCGUAGCUAACGCGAUAAGUAUCCCGCCUGGGGAGUACGGCCGCAAGGCUA
rnacentral:rRNA from 1 species